AUGGAAUGUUCUCCCUGGAAAGGUAAACACCUCUUAGACUUGUCUGCAUGGCUCUGUUGUAGUUCAGCUGUGGAGGUUGUGCUUAUGAGUUCAAGCUCUUGAACAAAAACUUGUGCAGAAACCUCGAGGCUUUGCCUUAAGCUGGAAGCACAGAAGCUCUCUCAGAGGUGUUUGAUAUCCCCUGAGUGUCCAGUAGGGACAGCUGGGGAAGGAGAGGAGACUUGUUCCUUUGACUUGUUCUCCUAGUGGGAUAUUUCCCAUCAAUUCCACUAGUUUAUGUCUUCCUGACCUAAAGCCAGGAUUCUCCUUGCCAAACCUAGUCAAUAGUGUGGGGUUAUUUUAUUUUUUUUAAAGGUUAAAUCUUUCUGCCUUUUUUUUUUAACUGUUAAAAGCUUUUCAUGUGCAACAAACUGUUUCCCAGAAAUUCCAUACCCAAGCACACAAUGCAUUUUACAUACUUUAUUUCUGUCUUAUAGAAAUCAUGACUAUGGUUCCAGACAUGAGGAAGAAAAUCUGGUGGUAAUUAAGGGACUUGUGGGCUGUAGCUGCUGUGAACUGAAGGGAGGGAGAAACUCGAGCAGCUUAAAGUGAAUUUUAGUUUGGUUCUGUUGUGGUGUGUUACCCUGAGUCACAGUAAAUACAAACCUGCAGCAACUGCCUGGCUCAGCUGCUGCUGCUGGAAAGGGAAUUUGCUGAGGGUUUGACACAAAUGGUCCAGGCAUCCCUUUUAUAAACAUAUGCAAUAUAUUCCAGAUGUUGAGAGAGUACAGAAGAAGAGGCCUGCAUCCCUUGCAGAUAAGUUUAUUGUUGUUCUCCUGAGCUCUGCAGGAUGGGUGUGCAGAACUGCUGCCACUGUCACUGCUCUGCUGUGGCAGCUUGUGCUGUGACUCUGAGUCCUCUCUGAGCUGGGGCUGGAGCUGCCUCCACUCCCACGGGAAUUGGCACAGCUGCCUUGGGCAGGCUCAGUGGGCUUAGCCCUGCUGGGCUGUAGCUUCACAGCUACUUUAGAUAAAUCCUGAAAUGUUGCAGUUGUGCUGUGCAGUGCCUGCCCUGCCCCAGGGAUCCCACCUCAGCUGUGUCUGCUCUUCUUUAGCAACCUGGGAGUGCAGCUGAGGACGUGACCAAGGGUGGCAUGGAGAGAACAACCAUCCAGAGGAGCAUUUCCUUCAGCCCUAAAAACACAAUGGCCAAGCCUGCCCUGCAGAAGCCAGUGAGCCACGCUGUGGUUAAGGAGCCAGUGGUUUCUCCAGCCAGGGAGGAUGACAGGAAGGGCAGCCCCUAUGGGCAGUGGGUUCCUGUCAAGAAGGAGGAGAAGAAAACAUUCCUGAACUUCUCACCCAAAAACUCCCUGUUCCGAGCACGCUGAUGGGAUUCCCUGUCAGACUGCAGCACUUCACCCCCCUCAGCAGAGAGAUGGAGAUUUCUCAUGGGCUUGAAGUUUUGUUAAUACUGAGUAUUUAUUUUGAGGUCUUAAUUUUUGGAAUCUUAGGUUUCUCUUUCAGAUAGAGAGCACACAGAUCCAGAAGCCACAGAUGGGAAUCUUGUGUAUAUUUGUAAAUAUUUUGUAUUGCUUUAUUGGACUAGAACUUGCAGGUGGGUAACUUUUUCUAAACCCUAGUUGAGUAGCUGUUCUUUGAACACCUGGAUUUACAUUGUGUAACUGUUUACUUGAAGUGAAUAAAGUUUUAGUUUUGCACUGGCUGCGUGUGGCAGGCGUCAGGCCUGUGUUUGUCUGCUUAUUUCUGGGGACUGAGAGAGGAUCCUGCCUCUUCCUCCCCUGGAUUUCCCUCUGGAAUUGGGGAUUGUGUAGGAUUGCAGCUGCCUGCCACACAAAUCACGGCUGUUCCCCAUCCCAUUGUCCCUUCUGACGCCAAACUCGAGUUACUGCAGCAUUUUAUUUAUUUGGUUUGCUUUAAAAUUCUCUUCCUGAGGAAGGAAAAGGUGCAGGGAGGGCAGGAGGGUUCCAGAGCUCUGCUCCAGCAGAAAGGAGUUCAGGAAGACAAGGAGCUGGGAAUAACCAGUAAAAAACCUGGGUUUUGUAUAAAGAAUUAGUAAAACAAAUGGAAUUUUCUGCUCCUGUCUGGGAGUUCUUUAAGGAACCCUGGAAUGGGUGGGAGGAGCCCGUGUUUAUCCUGUUCUGGGGCUGGGGCUGGACAGCCCAGGGGGGAAAUUCCACCCUUGGAAUUGCUGCCAGGGGGAAAUUCCACCCUGGGAAUUGCUGCCGGGGGGGAAAUUCCACUCUGUGAAUUGCUGAGGGCCUGGUGAGCUGCCCUUCCACGGGAGCACCGCUCUUCAUCCUGCUGCCAAGCAAACCCCAGGAACAGACACCAACUCCCAAAUUACACCAAAGAGUUUAUUUAGAGCACGAGCAGCAGAACCUGGCUACAACUGAACGAAAACUCACAGCUGGACUACACCAAUCCCCUCCAGCACAGCCGGAGAGCAACAGCUGCACUCGGAUACAACUUAAAAUGGGCUGAAAACGGCAACAGGGGAGAGCUGGGCUGGGCGGGGUGGGGUCACAGGGCCCUGCCCCUCUCCAGGUUCUGUUUGGGCUGGGCUGGGUGAGCUCACCCAUCCCCUCCCCAGGUUCUGUUUGGGCUCACACAGCUGUGCCCCUCUCCAGGUUCUGUUUGGGCUCACACAGCUGUGCCUCUCUCCAGGUUCUGUUUGGGCUGGGCUGGGUGAGCUCACACAUCCCCUCCCCAGGUUCUGUUUGAGCUCACACAGCUGUGCCCCUCUCCAGGUUCUGUUUGAGCUCACACAGCUGUGCCCCUCUCCAGGUUCUGUUUGAGCUCACACAGCUGUGCCUCUCUCCAGGUUCUGUUUGAUCUCAGCCGUGUAUUUCCCGUAGAACCUCUCAGCCUUCUGGUUGAACUUGGCGUUCCUCUCGUUGAUGUAGUCGAUGUCGGCGUCGUCGUUGUAGGGCCGCCUCCGGCUGUACUUCUCCCUCUUCUCGAUCCUGGGAGGCAGCAGGGGCUGAGCCCUGGGGCUGCAGCACCCCCAGCCCUCCCUGCCCUCCCUCUCCCCCCGUUACUCACUGCUUCUCCAGGUCUGCCACCAUCCUGUCCACCCCUUCCUUAGAGGGCACGUGGGUGCCGUGCAGGAGGCUGUCCGAGUUGGGGUACAGGGCCUCCCCGCUGCAG